rnacentral:rRNA from 1 species
UACGUAGGGGGCUAGCGUUGUCCGGAAUCAUUGGGCGUAAAGCGCGCGUAGGCGGCCUGAUAAGUCCGGUGUGAAAGUCACAGGCUCAACCUGUGAAUGCCGCUGGAAACUGUCUGGCUAGAGUCCGGAAGGGGCGAGUGGAAUUCCUGGUGUAGCGGUGAAAUGCGCAGAUAUCAGGAGGAACACCAAUGGCGAAGGCAGCUCGCUGGGACGGUACUGACGCUGAGGCGCGAAAGCGUGGGGAGCAAACAGG